rnacentral:misc_RNA from 1 species
GAUGAAGAACGCAGCGAAAUGCGAUACUUGGUGUGAAUUGCAGAAUCCCGUGAACCAUCGAGUCUUUGAACGCAAGUUGCGCCCGAAGCCACUAGGCCGAGGGCACGCCUGCCUGGGCGUCACACGCCGUUGCCCCCCCAUCUACUCCUUCGGGAUUGCAGGGGGGCGGAUGAUGGCCUCCUGUGCGCCUAGCCGCGCGGUUGGCAUAAAUACCAAGUCCUCGGCGACGCACGCCACGACAAUCGGUGGUUGCGAAACCUCGGUUGCCCGUCGUGUGCGUUCGUCGCGCAUCGAGGGCUCGAAAAAAUGCUCGGCUCCGGCUGGGCUUUCAACGCGACCCCAGGUCAGGCGGGGUUACCCGCUGAAUUUAAGCAUAUCAAUAAGCGGAGGA